GCUCAUCCGUGCUUCCCACACCUGGCGUUGGCUUUGCCUUCUCGGAAAAAAAAAGGUGCCCGCAGCCUGCUUACCCCCACUGCAGGAUCAAGAUUCCCUGCAAUUAAUUCCCUGAGUGCUGACCUCUAUGUCCCAGUGAGAAUCCAUCCACGUUAAGGAACUUUCCUCUUGAAGUGAACAAAUGUGCAAGGUUUGUUUUUCAGAUCAACAAGAAUCCUGAAGGGAAGUGCACCUUCUCCCUACCUCCUCUCCCACCUAGCAGCACUCCUCUGAACGCCAGCAGCCUGCAAUUGGCUUGACAUCACUGUGGCUACAGAGAGGCUUCUGAAAUUGUUUGUUUUCCUAACCAUAGUGGUAAAACAGAAUGGCUGGGUCUGUACCUUGUUCUGUCUGGAUGCGCACAAAGCAGUUGACCAUAACCCUGCACUGCUGGUCUGCCUGGAUCUGCUUGA